CCUACGGGUGGCAGCAGUGGGGGAUAUUGCACAAUGGGGGAAACCCUGAUGCAGCGACGCCGCGUGUGGGAAGACGGUCCUCUGGAUUGUAAACCACUGUCCCCAGGGACGAAGAUGACGGUACCUGGGGAGGAAGCUCCGGCUAACUACGUGCCAGCAGCCGCGGUAAUACGUAGGGAGCGAGCGUUGUCCGGAAUUACUGGGUGUAAAGGGAGCGUAGGCGGGACUGCAAGUUGGGGGUAAAAUCUACGGGCUCAACCGGUAGCCGCACUCAAAACUGCAGUUCUUGAGUGAAGUAGAGGCAGGCGGAAUUCCUAGUGUAGCGGUGAAAUGCGUAGAUAUUAGGAGGAACACCAGUGGCGAAGGCGGCCUGCUGGGCUUUUACUGACGCUGAGGCUCGAAAGUGUGGGGAGCAAACAGGAUUAGAUACCCUUGUAGUC
rnacentral:rRNA from 1 species